UACGUAGGGUGCAAGCGUUGUCCGGAAUUAUUGGGCGUAAAGAGCUCGUAGGCGGUUCGUCGCGUCGGCUGUGAAAACUCAGGGCUUAACCCUGAGCUUGCAGUGGGUACGGGCAGACUAGAGUGCGGUAGGGGAGACUGGAAUUCCUGGUGUAGCGGUGAAAUGCGCAGAUAUCAGGAGGAACACCGGUGGCGAAGGCGGGUCUCUGGGCCGUAACUGACGCUGAGGAGCGAAAGCAUGGGGAGCGAACAGG
rnacentral:rRNA from 1 species